rnacentral:rRNA from 1 species
UACGAAGGGUGCAAGCGUUACUCGGAAUUACUGGGCGUAAAGCGUGCGUAGGCGGUUUGUUAAGUCAGAUGUGAAAUCCCCGGGCUCAACCUGGGAAUGGCAUUUGAUACUGGCGAGCUAGAGUACGGUAGAGGGUGGUGGAAUUCCCGGUGUAGCGGUGAAAUGCGUAGAGAUCGGGAGGAACAUCUGUGGCGAAGGCGGCCACCUGGACCAGUACUGACGCUGAGGCACGAAAGCGUGGGGAGCAAAC